rnacentral:antisense_RNA from 1 species
UAUUAUGGUGGACUGAACCGGGGCUUCUUUUGAAGCGCCGAUUUUCCAUAUGGUCGGUACGCCAAACCGGUUCAGUCUGCCACCCGA